CAUCGUUCUCAGGGCGGGGUGCAAUUCCCCACCGGCGGUGAGCAGGAUUCCUGUAAGCCCGCGAGCGCUUCGUUUUUUGACGAAGGUCAGCAGAUUUGGUGUGAUUCCAAAGCCGACGGUCAUAGUCCGGAUGAAAGAGAGCGGGA
rnacentral:ncRNA from 2 species